rnacentral:tRNA from 1 species
GAGGGUAUAGCUCAAUGGUAGAGCACGUGCUUAGCAUGCAUGAGGCCCUGGGUUCAAUCCCCAGCACCUCCA